CAAAAAAAGUCAAUCCUUAAAAAUAAAUCAAUGACUGAAUUAAAAGUUGUCUUAAAACUUAAUCCUGGAAUCUCCAAUCUGUAAAGGAAAGUAUAGACUAAAAUUUUUUUCAAAAUGUCCCGACAUUUGCACAGGUGUAGGAGAAUCAUGUGUAGAGUAUGUAACACGCCAUGGUUUGGAUUCGGUUAUUUCUUGUUUGAGUCAUUCGGUGAAAUGUGUGGUUUCCUUCCGUGGUUUGUAAGUACGGAAGUAGAUUUUAAGGAAGCUAUCAGUUAGCCAUCAGGUUUGUUUGUGCUAAUGGGUUAAUCCCCCCCUAUUUUUGUGUAAUUAUACGUUUGGACCUCCUGGUUUUGGUGUGACAACGUCAAGACUGACUGUGGUCACCACUGCAGAUCGGGGGCGGGGGGUUGUUGCAGUCCGCUGAUGUGAGAGGCUGUCCUGAGCCUUUUUUUUUUUUUUUAAUGUCCAUAGUUUAUUUAGCUGUAAACACACGACCAGCCAUUUGAUCUUAUCGUUAGAGUUUUCUUAUUGAGAAAGAUAAUGGUUUACAGUUUAGGCUUUAGGUUUUGUUUGCAAAAUUGUGUAAAGUUCUUGUGUGUCUGGCCGAGUCUGCUGGACUUUUCAAAGCUGGCACAAUCAUAAUUUGCUGUUAAGUACGGCGUUACAGGUCAUUGUGAAUUUCCUUCAAAAUCGUAGUUCAUCAGUGCUGUCGUUUUCUCCAUUUUCACAUUUCAUCUCCACCAAACGUCACAGCUUUAAAGGGGAUUUAUUAUGGUUGGGUAUUUGAUUUUUAUAUACGCCAGAGGAUUUAAAGACAAUAUUCUUAGAUUAUUGACCCUACAGAGGUUCAGCUUGUUGGAUGUCAGUCCUAAACAAAACUUGGCUUUUUGUGUAAAUAUUUUACAGCAAAAAAAAAAGUCCUUUUGACGUCAUUUGAUAGGAACGUUGUUGUAAAGAUGAGGUGUUUAUUUAAAAAAAAAAGAGCUUAACAUGGUGAAAUUAACUGUCUUUUUAAGCAUCGACUUUUUUUGAGGGACUUGAGGAGAAUUAUUGUCACACGUUGGUAGUGAUGAGCAUUUAGCUGCUGCAGUCAAGAUUGGAGUCAAGAAACUUUGUCUCGGUUUUGAGUCAAAUUUUGAAAAAUCAGAGAAAAAAAUUGCCAAAUAUAGUCUACGGCGCUAGAGAGAGAGCAACUAUUUCAUACCACAGGGUUUUUAGUCAUUACUUUUGAACUUUAAGCUCUAUUCUAAAAUUGCUUAUAUGCUUUGGAUAAAGUGACGGCCCAGGAAAGAUCACUGUCCUUUUCUAAAUCCAUAUCACACCUACAGAGUUGGCUGUUGACUCCACACCUUGUCUUUUAUUGGGGUUCACUUACAGUUGAUACCACGCAAAUCUCAUUUGACUUGAAUUUACUCUUGCUGACUUUGGCUCCAUUCAGGACCGACCACACACUCGUUUCUCGUCCUUCUCCUGACAUUGGUUUUGCUACACUAGGUUCCAGUGACAGGUAGCCUCUCCACACACCCACAUUUCUCCACCUUCUCCAUGUGAACUGUUAGAUACAUGCCUUGUUGUUGCUGCUGCUCCAGCCACCUUCUUCCUCUUGCUGAUUAUUGCAGCUAGAGUGGGAGGGAGCCAAACUGAGCCCUUGCCCUGGACGUUCGCCACACGCAGCAGUAGCAUGGAAUGGGGAAAACAGCAGCGUUAGGCCUGAAACUGCUGUGGACGAUGGGUGUCCCCCCCCUCUAAGCAGUAGAGUAGCAGCAGCAGUUUCUUUGUGCCGUCCAACAUCAGCUAAGGUCACAGUGAUCGCCGUGUGCCAUGUGGAAGUGCCAGCAGAAUGGAAACCUAAGCCUUGUAGCCACAGCAACGUUCAAAAGCAGAGACUACUGAGAGAGAGAGAAAGAGAGAGAGAGCACGUCUAAAAACACAUGAACAGCUUUACCUAUAUACAGAAGACACAGUGACAGUCCAGGAUGGACGGAGCGUGUGGUGGGGACGAGCCGUGUGAUGAAGAGAUCGUCGGACUGAUGGAGAACGGACAAACCACUGGAAUAAGUGAGUGUCUUGGUGGGGUGGGUGAAGCCACGUGUCGGCUCCGGCUCGUUUGGAGACCAGAGACGAUUUUCACUGUGUGUGUGAUGACUUUUAAUAGAUGGACGUCCCUCUGGUGGAGAGAGAGAGUCUUGGAUGCAGGUUCACGAAUUCUACCAGAGAUCAACUUGGACAGCUGCUCGUUUUCCGGCGAUCUUCAACCACCCGAGAUUCCAGAUUGUGUGGUUCCAACUCAGACAUGACUCUCACAGAGGAACUCAUCUGUUACGUAAGUACACGCUACCGAGAAACAUGACCCUGUUUGUCUUGAUGGGGGAAGCAUGUGCACACAAACACGUACAGUACAUGUACCAUUGAACAGACACGAUCAAUAGAAAACGCCUUCAUCCCCCAAUUGAUUAUUGCCCCUUUAACUGUACAUCCCAGCAAUGAUUUUAGGGUUUUUGUGCAGCAGGACAUUUGCUUAUACCUCUUAGGAGGUUUGUGCUCUCUCUAUAUAUGUAUAUAUAUAUAUACUGUUUAUCAUCACGGGGUCUCACUUGACCUUGGAUCGGCAACAAAAUUCACAUUAACAUUUAUCGUCUCAUUAAAUCCACCCCUGGUCUGGCUGUCUGAAAUAAUCUGUGUGUCAUCGUCUCGUGACCAGUGGAUUAUUCCCUCGGCUGCUUUUGUCAGAUUCUGGUCUUUGACCGUCUCCUCUAAUUGACCUUGAACUGCCCUGGACCACAGAGGUGUCCACUCCAUUAGAUAACCUUUGUCUCUCUCUCUAUGUCGAAGUGAGGAGUCUGCUGGAGUGAUUACCUGUCUAGUUUUUCUGCAGUGUGACUUGAUGUGUGGGUGGGUGGGAAGGAGGGGAUUAAAAGAUUCGGAUAUUCAAUAAGACAAACACCCAAGACAGUGUAGACGUGUUAGGAAUCUGAGUUAGUACUUGUCUGAUUGGCAAGAUUGAGAAUCAUCUCCAGUCUAACGCCCAGUCUCCACCUGACUCUCAGUGCAACGUCACUACUCCUUGAGCAGUGCCCUGGAAAAAAAACCAAACAAACAAAAAAAAACCGAACAGUUCUCUGUACAAAAGCCUGACAGACACACUAGAGAUUACGACACUACUGCUUCUACGCAAGCUACACGGUUGGGGGGGGGCAGACAGGAAAAGGGUGUUGCAUGAUAUUGCACAGCUGUGGGGGAGGAAACAACAAAAAUAAAAAAAAUAAAAAAUUAAAGGUACAGUAAGUACAACGACACCCCCCCCACUCACUCCCCCCAGAAUUAAAGUUGGUGUAAGAGGUUUGUGUAACAUCCAGAGAUGAUGCCUGGCUGUGGCUCAGUGCUUUCAUCAGUUAGUUCCAGUGCAGUAACACAUCAGUACCUGGUCACGCAGUAAAAUGGCGGCAGGUACUUAAAAGAGAAACGUACAGUACAGUAUCCAACACAGCUACGUCAAAACCACACUCGCACACCUAACACACAAACACAUCGGCGUGCCCGCAAGUGACGGUUCUUUCCACGCCAGAUCCUCGAUGUGAAGUUGGCAAUUUAGAACAAACCGAGUCUCGAAAAAAAAGGGACUCGACACAGUUAUGUUGGUGCAGCACAGAGAAAUGUAGAAAAACAAGACACACACACACACACCUUCAAAUCGAUUACUCCUGACAUCCUGAUGGAUAACACAUGACCGGGAAACCAAUCUGACCAGGAUGAUAAAAUCAACAACACGCACCUAGACACACACACACACACACACAUACACACACACACCCUUGGCAAGGAGCACAUUGAGUAAAGUGCCAGCAAACGAUCCAAUCAGAGAAAGAGACGACACCCUGUCCCAGGUUUGAUUCAGUUGUGUGAGAGUUUUGUACAGGAAGUGAUGUGUAUGAGGAGGUCAGGAAGUAGCAGCUGUGCGGCCGCACUUCCACAGAGCUCUCAGGUUUUUCUGAAGUGUUAUCACAGGUUGUUAUUUGCCAUCAGAGCGGGCAAAUUAAAUAGUGGAUGAGUAGGACUGACAAGGGCCGUCUGGAGCCCUGGCCUUUUCAGAUUCGUAGACAGAGGCCGGUAUCCACACGGGGAGCGGAGAGGAGAUUAGAAGGUGAGCGUUUCAAUCCUUGAUCCGCCCUCUGGUCCUUCGUAACUCUCCCCUCCCUUUUCCCUCUCUGCCUUCACCUUUUCGUCCUACUGCACCGGGAUUUGGUUCUGGAUGUGUUCUCCUCCGUCUCCUUCCUUCUUCUCCCCCGUCUCCCUCUCAGCUCUGCUGCCAUGGUUACGACAUCGUCUCUACAUGAAGUGCAUCUACAGGAGGACGGGUGGCGAGAAGGCUGGUUUCAUGUCAAGUUCCUGGAGUCUGGAGUCAGAGUCUAAAACCAGAGUACAACACUUCCCCCGGCACUCGUCGUUCCUGCUCUGUCUGUUGCUACGUCUGGCUGAUCCCAGGUUAGGUAAAAAAACAAAUCUGUAAAUGUUCAAGGCUUGUAAUCAAAGAGCAGAGCAGAGGUCGGUAUACCUGUGUCCCAGGGAUGGGUCCAAAGGGAUUAGAAGGUCUGAGAACAGGCUGGUUGUACAUGACAGGCUGUGGGGGCAUCAUGGGAACGCCCCCCAUCUGAUGACUCAUCUGAGGAGGGAGCUGGCGAGACAGAAGGCCACAGACUUUUUCCGAACCAUUUCCCUCAAUAAACGACCGGACGGAGUUGAAGGGUCAAUCAGACGGAAAUUUAAAGAUGAAGUUGGACGGAAUGAAACGGACGUGUUUGAAAUUAGGAGUGGACCAGAGAGGACGAGGAGACACGGAUUUCUACUGGUUAUUGGACUGACCACACCCUUAAAGUCGGCAACACGAAGAGAGAACAGGCAUAGGUGCAGGUGCCAUGGGGUGGGUGGUGUGAGUCCAGUUGGUGCUGGUGCACAUGGCCUUUGACUGCCAGCCACUUCCUCCUGUUGGUUUCUUCUCCACCAGCUGACUCCACUGCAGCUCAGGCCUGACGUACAGGAGCGGAGACGUUACAGCAGGUGUCCCCCCAAACUGCAGGUCUGGAAAAAUAAAAAGGUGAGACGUUAGGAGGCAACGUGAAGAGGUUAAAAAAAAAAAAAAAAAAUCAACCCAAGAAGCCGAGUACUCCUUUCAUUCAAGGACGUGAUGGGAAACAGGAGGAGGAGGAGGAGGAGGCUGUAUCAACAAACUCUGCACAAACAACAAACGCUGCGUCUCUCUGCAGCCUUUUCCCCCCGUGUUUACGCAGCGUGGGAUUACACACUCACUGGCUGUUGACAGGUACGAUGGAAGUCCAUAAAGAAUAUUGUAGCUUCACCACAACUGGACACAGGAACUGCUGCUCUGUCACCGCCUCUCAAAGAGAGUUUGUCGUCGCUGAGAGAUUUCAGGCUUUCGCUUUUAUAACUUUGACUUUCUAACCUCAUUAUCAAGGCCACAGAGCCUUCACAGAGCAUCGACCUGUUGAACGAAGCUGCAAAUCCACUAGGAAACUGUGGUUGUGUUUAUUCAGAGAGAACAGUCUGUUGUCGUCCGUCUUGUCGUCCAUGCGGCUGAGAGAGAUGCCAGUGCUGGAGAGAGAGGAAACUGCACUGGACAAGACUAAACCCACGCACUGUGGCUUUGGACAAAAUAAAGCCUCACUGAAUGAAUAAGGUUUGGUUGACCAGCAUGCACACAUCAGCCUCGGGUCAUGCAAGCAGGACUGACAGGUACGAACACAGAAGAGGAAAAUCACCACAAACAUCAGCGCUGAAAAGAAUCUCUACUGUAUGACCAGCCCAUGCAGACAGCUGCCAUGACACACACACUGCAAAAAAGGAACAAAGUGCACCGUGUGCAGCUGUGGUAUGGCAAACUGGCUCAACAGCGCCCCCCUAAAACCAUCUU